rnacentral:rRNA from 1 species
CCUACGGGAGGCAGCAGUGGGGAAUAUUGGGCAAUGGGCGCAAGCCUGACCCAGCAACGCCGCGUGAAGGAAGAAGGCUUUCGGGUUGUAAACUUCUUUUUAGAGGGACGAGCCGAAGACCGUACCUCUUGAAUAAGCCACGGCUAACUACCUGCCAGCAGCCGCGGGAAGACGUAGGUGGCAAGCGUUGUCCGGUGUUACUGGGUGGAAAGGGCGUACAGGCGGUAAUACAAGUCAGAGGUGAAAACCCGCGGCUCAACCGCGGAACUGCAUUUGAAAAUGUUUUUCUUGAGUACCGGAGAGGUCAUCGGAAUUCCUUGUGUAGCGGUGAAAUGCGUAGAUAUAAGGAAGAACACCAGUGGCGAAGGCGGAUGACUGGACGGCAACUGACGGUGAGGCGCGAAAGCGUGGGGAGCAAACAGGAUUAGAUACCCGAGUAGUC